CUUUAUUAGAGGUGACGCCUGCCCAAUGCUUCUUCUUAAUUCAGUAUCUCCUGAUCAAUAGGAAGUCAAUGGCCGCGGUAUUUCUGACCGUGAUAAUGUAGCGAAAUCAAUCGUCACUUAAUUGCUGACCGGUAUGAAUGGUAGUACGAAUGUUCCCCUGUCUCUAGAAAAGCGCCCGUGAAAUUGAAGGGGCCGUGCAUAUACGGCCCAACCCUUGUAAGACGAAAAGACCCUAUUGAGCUUUACUAUUAGUUCCUCUUUACCUCCAAAAGAUCACCUUAACCAGUAUUUCUUUAGAUAGGGGGAAUGUGUUAGUUUCGUUGGGGCGACGGCCUUCUACAUAGUAACGAAGGCUAACAAUGACUUAUUUUUAAUGAAAAAUGUUUGACUGCUAGGGUAAUAGCCCGCGCAGACACUAUCGUGGGUCAUACGUUUCCACCCUUAAUUAAACUGAGGGUGCAAAAACAUAAAAGUUACCAUAGGGAUAACAGCGUAAUUUCACCGAAGAGUCCUUAUCGAUGGUGAAGAUUGCGACCUCGAUGUUGAAUUGUGGUAUCCUGAGGGUGUAGCCGCUCUC
rnacentral:rRNA from 1 species